rnacentral:rRNA from 1 species
AUUGAACGCUGGCGGCAUGCCUUACACAUGCAAGUCGAACGUGAAAGGGGGGGCAACCCCCGAGUAGAGUGGCGGACGGGUGAGUAACACAUCGGAACGUACCCAGUAGUGGGGGACAACCUCGAGAAAUCGAGGCUAUUACCGCAUACGACCCACGGGUGAAAGCGGGGGACCGCAAGGCCUCGCGCUAUUGGAGCGGCCGAUGUCCGAUUAGCUUGUUGGCGGGGUAAGAGCCCACCAAGGCGACGAUCGGUAGCUGGCCUGAGAGGAUGAUCAGCCACACUGGGACUGAGACACGGCCCAGACUCCUACGGGAGGCAGCAGUGGGGAAUUUUGGACAAUGGGGGCAACCCUGAUCCAGCCAUGCCGCGUGCGGGAAGAAGGCCUCGGUUGUAACG